UACGUAGGGUGCAAGCGUUGUCCGGAAUUAUUGGGCGUAAAGAGCUCGUAGGCUGUUUGUCGCGUCUGCUGUGAAAACCCGAGGCUCAACCUCGGGCCUGCAGUGGGUACGGGCAGACUAGAGUGCGGUAGGGGAGAUUGGAAUUCCUGGUGUAGCGAUGGAAUGCGCAGAUAUCAGGAGGAACACCAAUGGCGAAGGCAGAUCUCUGGGCCGUAACUGACGCUGAGGAGCGAAAGCAUGGGGAGCGAACAGG
rnacentral:rRNA from 1 species